rnacentral:lncRNA from 1 species
UAGUUUAAUGUCUUCCUUUUAUUGUGGUGCCCAAAACUGCCCCCAGGACAUGAGGUGAGGCCACCCCAGUGCAGAGCAGAGCUGGAGAAUCCCCUCCCUUGCCCAGGUGGUGAUGUUGUGCCUGAAGACCCCAGGACAGGGAUGUCCUUCCUGGCUGCCAGGGCACUGCUGACUAGGAGCCCACUGCCUGAAUUCAAACCUUUCUGUUCUUGAUCUGCUCAGCAGAGUGAAGAGGGCAGGAGGAGGAGACACUCCCUCAGAGAAGAAGAUGACGGUAAGAAGGAGGAGGAGGAGGAGAAGGAGAAGAAAAUGAUGGAGGAGAUGCUCCCUGUCAUCCUCUGCUGUCACCUUUUCAACCUGUUGCAGAGAACAUUGUCCGAGAGAGAGGACCAGAGCAGUUCCUGCUCCUACUGUUCAAUGCCUUGGGAACUCACCUGGCAAGAAACAUCUUUUCAACUAUGCCAGGUCUGUGUUUUGCAUUCAAGAGUCUGUAUUAAAUGACUAAAAUACAGAAUACACUCUUACGAUGUCUCUGGGACACAGACACCUGCAGGAAUGGCUAUGUACUCCAUCUACCAGAGAGAUGUGCUGCUUCUCAUGCAGCCUUUCCCAGGCCUCCUCAGCCCCACGAGCACCUGCCACGAUGGAGGGAGUCACUGUCAGGUGCCCUGGGUUUCCUGCUAUUCGGUGCACGCAGCUGGUGUGGGUGGGUUUCACUCAAGGAAAGGUUUGAACACAAUUUCCCAGCUCUUACAGGAGCAUUUUACAGUGAGGCUGUUACAUAAAAGACAGGUAAUAUCUCCUCCUCCUCCCCUGCCCACCUUCUGUAAGGAAACCAGCAGCUAAAAUGUAUUUUGUGAAAAGCUUGAUCUUGACACUCCAGGUCAAGUGUUGAAAGUGCACAAUGCUAGUGUAGGAUGCUCAGAGGAUUUGGGGAAAGAAAUCUUCCUGCUUUCAGUCCCAAACUGGGAUAGCUGGGGAGAUAAACAGCGUACUUAACUGGAUGAGUUUUUUUUUUUUUUUAAUUCUUCCUUGAACUUUAAGGGAAAAGAAGGAGGAAUAUUCCCAGCCAAAAUGGCAGCAUCAGUGGCCACAAGUGACUUAAGGGUUAGGUAACAUUAUGCCUGUUUUCUCUUGUAUGCACACUCAAAUAUCAGAUUUCAAGAUGUCAUUUGAAAAAUUGAAGAGUGUUGACAGUAGCCCACUAGAUUUCAAAAUGGCAACUACAGGUACUGGAAUAUUUUAAUCCAUAGAAUUGAUCUGAUGUUAAUAUAAAUUUAUAUUUUUUUCUGUAUUACAAAAAUAUCUAUUGGCUGAUUUGCUGCUUAGCUGACUUUCUUACCUCUGCCUUUAAGACUUGCUUAAUUUGGAACUCAUCACAAAUGAUGAUUUCCCAUAUUAUCAUUUGCUGGAAAUAUAUUUUCCCAUCUAUUUUUUCCUUUCAGAUAGCUAGGUCAAAUGUGCACAAGCCACAGCUGUUAGUUUAUAUAUUCCAAGUUGCCUUUUAUGUUCUUUUCCUUUCCCCUACAGCUGCCUAUACAGUUUCUUAAAUUAUCUCAUCGUACAUAAGAUGUUGAGACCUAAAAGUUGAAAUUAAAUUGAAGGUUUAAAAUCAGGUCUACCAUCUCUGUAGCUUGAACUUUGAGUUACAAAAGUUUACUGAGGGAAGGAAAUACUCAGUAUAUUCUGUGUAAACUGUAGGUUCAUAGUGAAAAUCAAUAAUACUGGGAAAGAAAAUUAAUGGAUUGAAAGAUACUGAAGUGACUCUGUUCAGAUGCUUUUAGGUUAAAUAAUAUAUUCUGAAAAGUCACUUUUGUUCUAUGGUAAGGUGGGAGCUAUAUGUUAAUUUCUUUUAUUCCUGGAUCAUUUUCUCUCUGAGUUGUCAUCAAGUUGAGUUUUCAGUACUACAUUGAAAUGAAUAUUCAUCACAGAGUUACAGCUUUUGAAAAACCUGUAGGGAAAAAGAAAAAAAGCCCCGAACCCCUUUCCUUCCCCCUCUUCAUGCAGCUCUGAACAGGCAGAGCAUCCCUUGGGCUAACAAAGCAGCACACAGCAUCCAUGUGCUUCUGGGCAGGGGCUUUGAGCUCUCCAGGUGUCCCUUCAUGUGGGACCAAGAGGUCAAGACAAAUGUAAGAGUUUUGAGGCUUGGGGCUGCAGGAACAAUGAGAACAGUGAGGGGCAGCCCUGCUCCUCCCUCAAGAAGACAAAGGUACUUGAGCUCAUCAUGGUCAGUCAGAGCCCCUCUGGGGAGGUGGAGCAGUUACCAAGCAGCUUCGGGUUGCUGCGACCAGGACUGCUGUGAGCAGUCCUCCAGCACUGAAAAAACCUACAGAUUUUCAGGAAAAUGGACAAAAUGGCAUUAAUGGAUGAGUGAAGUGGUGUGGGUAUUGGACUGAGGGCAGGAAGUUUAUGAAACAAGAGUGAAAUGUGGGGUAUGUCACUGCUCUCACUGGUCAAUAAUGUGGUUUUAAAGAUCUGAUUGAUAAAAUGGAGUAACAAGGUGAGUUCCCUAGCUCAUAAGACAGGUAGAGCUUUUCACCAACAUUCUCUUUAAAAGCUACGUUUUAAAAGCAAUUUCAGUGCUAUGAAGAACAAUGCAAUUUCAGUGCUGUGGAGAACAAUGCUGCAAUAAAUUGCACAGGAGGUUUGCAAUUUACAAGUAAGAGGAAACACUUCCACAAGGAUGAGAUUGGGAUGGUGCAGCUAAAUCCUUCCAAAAGCUCAAGAGAUGGAGCCUCUGCCUGGCCCUUAGCUCCUGCUGCUUCCACUGCAAUCAGUAAAUGCCCUUUAUGAGACAUAUGGUGUUUGUCCAGACAUAAAAUUGCCAUUUUAUUGACAUGUUAUGAACACUUCUGAUUUAUUUUUUCUAAUUUUAACAUGGAUUCUUUUAACUCUAUAUUGAUACAUGCACUUUUGGGCUCAAUGAGCAAUAAAAAGUCUUCAUUUAGUGCCACAUAGUGGUAAAAAACAAAAAAAUUCAGUGAGGCUGGAGUUUAAAGUAAAAAUACAUUUAAAAAAAAUUAGGAUAUACCGAUAAAUUUGUGAUAUGCAUCACCAAGAUUUGAUUGUCUGAGGAUGGUUUAUACCACUUGCUAGAUAAAUGUGCAAUAUAGGAAAUUUUGACUCUGUAUUUAGAAUUAGCUUUCUUUGCAACAAGCAGAAUAUUUUGCUCGUUUUUACCUUGACAAAAUGAUGAGGCAUGUGAUAGUGGAAUUGGCCCUUGCAAGUGGCACAGCAGUCACAGGGCAGAACCAGCCUGGAUUAGAGCUGUAAAGACAUCUCAAAAAAUGGCAAAUAAUAUGGAGCAGUCUCUGAAGAAAAGGCCAAUUUGGGAUCUCUGGAUUGGGAAGACUUUUGCACAUUCUGGUGAUGAAUGGUUUUCUUGCUCAGGUAAUGCAGAAAAAUAUUACUGUUGUCAGUAACACAGGUAAUGGUACUUCUGCAAGUGUAAUGGAUGUGUUGCAAUUCAUCUCCAGCCAUCCAGCCCCAGAGCAAGCUAGAUGAAACAAAACCUGUAAUGGUUAAAACAGGCUGAAACAAACUAAUAAGACCAACAUUUCUCAUCGAGCUCCCCAAAAGAUGAAUACACCUAAACAAGGUAUAUUUGUACAGGGUUAUGAAUGGGUCAAACCUGUGAUGUAAUUUCAGAUUCAGGAAACACAGUGAAACUGAGCUCCUGUUCCUGCUUUUGCUGUGCUGCACGAUCUUUCAGGGGCUCCAGAGGGACUUGUGACACCUCUACCUACACAACACAUUUGCACAUGCAGUAGGACAGGGUAUUUCCCUUGGCUGCUAGCAUAGCAUACCAUUGAACAGUACUGUUCUGUAGAAAAAGGAACUAAAUUUAAUGUUUUUGCAAUUUGUGUUGGGACAUGCUGGCAAAGUGCUUCAAAACGUAGAUUUAAUUCUGUAAACAGUCUUGCUUCAGUUGCAAAUAGCUGAUGUCUGUUGCCUGCUCCUCUGAAAGCAAUUUCUUCCACUUCCCCACACAGACAUUUUUCAGGUAAGGAAGCAACAAUUGCUGCAUUUUUGCUUCAGGCAAAAAUAGUAUGGCACUAUUUGGGAGUGUAUUUAUAUUUAUUUUAAAGCAAUAUCAAUAUAUUGGUACAAAAGUCUUAUGAUGUCAUAGAAAAUAAACCUAUGUGAU